GGCGUGAUUAGAGUUUGAUCCUGGCUCAGGACGAACGCUGGCGGCGUGCCUAAUACAUGCAAGUCGAGCGGACAGAUGGGAGCUUGCUCCCUGAUGUUAGCGGCGGACGGGUGAGUAACACGUGGGUAACCUGCCUGUAAGACUGGGAUAACUCCGGGAAACCGGGGCUAAUACCGGAUGCUUGUUUGAACCGCAUGGUUCAAACAUAAAAGGUGGCUUCGGCUACCACUUACAGAUGGACCCGCGGCGCAUUAGCUAGUUGGUGAGGUAAUGGCUCACCAAGGCAACGAUGCGUAGCCGACCUGAGAGGGUGAUCGGCCACACUGGGACUGAGACACGGCCCAGACUCCUACGGGAGGCAGCAGUAGGGAAUCUUCCGCAAUGGACGAAAGUCUGACGGAGCAACGCCGCGUGAGUGAUGAAGGUUUUCGGAUCGUAAAGCUCUGUUGUUAGGGAAGAACAAGUACCGUUCGAAUAGGGCGGUACCUUGACGGUACCUAACCAGAAAGCCACGGCUAACUACGUGCCAGCAGCCGCGGUAAUACGUAGGUGGCAAGCGUUGUCCGGAAUUAUUGGGCGUAAAGGGCUCGCAGGCGGUUUCUUAAGUCUGAUGUGAAAGCCCCCGGCUCAACCGGGGAGGGUCAUUGGAAACUGGGGAACUUGAGUGCAGAAGAGGAGAGUGGAAUUCCACGUGUAGCGGUGAAAUGCGUAGAGAUGUGGAGGAACACCAGUGGCGAAGGCGACUCUCUGGUCUGUAACUGACGCUGAGGAGCGAAAGCGUGGGGAGCGAACAGGAUUAGAUACCCUGGUAGUCCACGCCGUAAACGAUGAGUGCUAAGUGUUAGGGGGUUUCCGCCCCUUAGUGCUGCAGCUAACGCAUUAAGCACUCCGCCUGGGGAGUACGGUCGCAAGACUGAACUCAAAAGGAAUUGACGGGGGCCCGCACAAGCGGUGGAGCAUGUGGUUUAUUCGAAGCACGCGAAGAACCUUACCAGGUCUUGACAUCCUCUGACAUCCUAGAGAUAGGACGUCCCCUUCGGGGCAGACUGACAGGUGGUGCAUGGUUGUCGUCAGCUCAUGUCC
rnacentral:rRNA from 1 species